UACGUAGGGUGCAAGCGUUGUCCGGAUUUAUUGGGUUUAAAGGGUGCGUAGGCGGCCCGUUAAGUCAGCGGUGAAAUCCCGGGGCUCAACCCCGGAACUGCCGUUGAUACUGGCGGGCUUGAGUUCGGUCGAGGCGGGCGGAACUGGUGGUGUAGCGGUGAAAUGCUUAGAUACCACCAAGAACCCCGAUUGCGUAGGCAGCUCGCUUGGCCGAAACUGACGCUGAGGCACGAAAGCGUGGGGAGCGAACAGG
rnacentral:rRNA from 1 species